rnacentral:tRNA from 1 species
CGGGAUGUGGCGCAGCUUGGUAGCGCACCUGCUUUGGGAGCAGGGGGUCGUGGGUUCAAAUCCCGCCAUCCCGA